rnacentral:rRNA from 1 species
CCUACGGGAGGCAGCAGUGGGGAAUAUUGCACAAUGGGCGAAAGCCUGAUGCAGCAACGCCGCGUGAAGGAAGAAGGGUUUCGGCUCGUAAACUUCUAUCAACAGGGACGAAAGAAAUGACGCGACAGGAUUAAGAAGCCUCCGCUAACUACGUGCAAGCACCCGCCGCUAUCCGUAGGGGGCAAGCGUUAUGCGGAAUUGCUGGGUGUAAAGGGUGAGUGGGCGGUACGGUAAGGCAGAUGUGAAAGGCCUGGGCUUAAACCGAGGAUUGCAUUUGGAACUAUCAGGCUAGAGUACAGGAGAGGAAAGCGGAAUUCCUAGUGUAGCGGUGAAAUGCGUAGAUAUUAGGAAGAACACCGGUGGCGAAGGCGGCAUUCUGGCCUGAAACUGACGCUGAGGCACGAAAGCGUGGGUAGCGAACAGGAUUAGAUACCCGAGUAGUC